UGGGGAAUUUUGGACAAUGGGCGAAAGCCUGAUCCAGCAAUGCCGCGUGUGUGAAGAGGGCCUUCGGGUUGUAAAGCACUUUUGUCCGGAAAGAAAUCCUUGGCUCUAAUACAGUCGGGGGAUGACGGUACCGGAAGAAUAAGCACCGGCUAACUACGUGCCAGCAGCCGCGGUAAUACGUAGGGUGCAAGCGUUAAUCGGAAUUACUGGGCGUAAAGCGUGCGCAGGCGGUUUGCUAAGACCGAUGUGAAAUCCCCGGGCUCAACCUGGGAACUGCAUUGGUGACUGGCAGGCUAGAGUAUGGCAGAGGGGGGUAGAAUUCCACGUGUAGCAGUGAAAUGCGUAGAGAUGUGGAGGAAUACCGAUGGCGAAGGCAGCCCCCUGGGCCAAUACUGACGCUCAUGCACGAAAAGGCGUGGGGGAGCAAAACAGGAUUAGAUACCCCUGGUAGUCCACGCCCUAAACGAUGUCAACUAGUUGUUGGGGAUUCAUUUCCUUAGUAACGUAGCUAACGCGUGAAGUUGACCGCCUGGGGAGUACGGUCGCAAGAUUAAAA
rnacentral:rRNA from 1 species